rnacentral:rRNA from 1 species
GACGAACGCUGGCGGCGUGCUUAACACAUGCAAGUCGAACGGAAAGGCCCUGCUUUUGUGGGGUGCUCGAGUGGCGAACGGGUGAGUAACACGUGAGUAACCUGCCCUUGACUUUGGGAUAACUUCAGGAAACUGGGGCUAAUACCGGAUAGGAGCUCCUGCUGCAUGGUGGGGGUUGGAAAGUUUCGGCGGUUGGGGAUGGACUCGCGUCUUAUCAGCUUGUUGGUGGGGUAGUGGCUUACCAAGGCUUUGACGGGUAGCCGGCCUGAGCGGGUGACCGGCCACAUUGGGACUGAGAUGCGGCCCAGACUCCUACGGGAGGCAGCAGUGGGGAAUAGUGCACAAGGGGCGGAAGCCUGAUGCAGCAACGCCGCGUGCGGGAUGACGGCCUUCGGGUUGUAAACCGCUUUCGCCUGUGACGAAGCGUGAGUGACGGUAAUGGGUAAAGAAGCACCGGCUAACUACGUG